AAUGAUUCUUCUUUCUGAAAUCCACUUGUUUUUUAUUUCUUGGCCUGUUUAUUUCCUGUUUCCUGCAGUAGACUAACCCCAGCGAUAAAAGGCAGCAAGCAAUCUUCCUGUGUUGUUCCCUGCCUUGUUCCCAAAGCAUUGCACGGCCCUUGGCACACAGUUGGUACUCAACAAAUGCUUAUCGACUUAAGAAUGGACCGCAUUGGCAGCGUUGGCUUUUCAACUCUGAUCUCCUGAGACUCUCUCAGAUGGGAAGCCUGGCUGUCCUGCCUGGAACCUCUGAGACUGUUCUGCUCCUCACACCCUCUCAGAAGCAUCCCAGCAAGCCCUGUGGGAUUCAGUGUGGGUCUCUUGAGAGUGGAAACACCCUCUACCUAUGUGUCACUGUGCCUCUCUUCCUGACACCACCCCCACUGGGAUCCACGAGAGAGGAGCAGAAGAACGGACCUCAGGCUGGGAGGCCAGGGCCGGUGUCUCUAAGGAGGGGGUGUUUUUGCCGAAGGACCUGAAAGACCAGAAGGGGUCGACCAUAUAACUGAGCACAUGGGGUUUCACAUGGGGAGAAGAAUAAGGGCGAAGUCUUGAGGUGUGGUUGUUUCUGGGCAUAAAGAGGAGACCAGUAGGGCUGUUGAGAAGUGUAGA
rnacentral:lncRNA from 1 species